GUAAAAGGGGACGCGGAGGAGAAGGAAAGUCGCUCAAGCAGUGGACAGAGCGGAGAAAGCGACUUCGGGUUGGUUGAAGGGUCUGCUGGAGUUUGCUGGAGGUGCACUCCAGACUCUGUUUGCCUGCCUAUCACCAACAGAGGCUGCAGAACAGCAAAGAUUGCUGUCUGUAACUUCCUCUGGAAGCUUCAUCCCAGAGGGGCACCUGCCAGAUGCCAGCCGGAGCUCUCCUCUAUGAGCCGCAGAGAGAAGAAGCUGCCCAAGAAUGGAAAGGAAGAAAUAUAUCACAUCAUCUGUCUGUCCACAGGCUUUCCUUGGGGCUUAUGAAGUGAAUGAAGGAGGGAAGAAAGGAGAGACAGAGAAAAUAUGGGAAGUAUGCAGCUGGCAUCAGAAGCUGGAAGAUAGGAUCUUCCCGGAUCACAGCUCCUGUUCAGAAAGUCUGAGGAUGUCAGACUGAGACUGUUGAGUCUGAGGAUGUCAGACUGAGAUUGUUGAGUCUCAGGAUGUUGCAGGACAGGAUGGAUGAAGAAUGCUAGUCCUGGCAGUUGGGGCCUAAGGCCAGGGCCCUUUUUUAUCACUUUCUUGUGUUGCCUCUCUGCCCAAGAAAAAAUCUGUCUCUUGCAUACAGCUCCUCUAAUACGUGUCCAUUAGAAGGAAGGAGUUUCUUUAAUGAGCUCUAUGGUUUUAUCUUGCUCAUAACAGCUUAGUUUAAUGCCACUGAAACUGUAACAUUUUUUUGUGCCUAAUAUCAACUGACAAAUAUAAAGUUAUUCCUAAUUUAUUAAUUCAAAUGAUAUAUUGCAAAAUAAAAUCUGCUUAAUAUGAAAAGAA
rnacentral:lncRNA from 1 species